ACUUUGCGGCUGGUCUAGUUUUGGGCCGUAGUUUGCACGCCCGUUUGUGUUGGUAAGACUUGGGAUUCCAGGUCGUUGGUUCGUUCUUUCUGCACAGGUUCUUUGAGCUCCACGUGUUUAGGAGCCCUGUGUUAAGCGAGGGGCAAAAUCACGAUGCUGUCUGUGCUCCUCUUUGGAGGAGCUCAGCACGUGCUGCGGUGCCGCGUGGUUGGGAUUGGAAAGGAGGACCUAGAAUGAGGAGCUAUGCAGGACGCCUGGUGUUCCUCAACGUCAACCCUCGCCUGUUGUAGACAUGAAAGGAACCAGUUGGAUUAUGACGUUACAUUCCUGGGACGUUUGGAUGGGGUGAGGCACCAGAACCGUCUGGGCUUAAAGUGCCUUCAGGAGGCCCUAGCAAGAUUUACAGGUGUCUGCGUGGCUUAGCAGCUCCUUCUCUGGACUCUGCAUGGCCAGCAUUCACUUCCAGACUCCCUUUUGUUACUUUUUAACUAAAGUAUUUAUAAUAAAAUACUGAAAAUAUAAUAACAUAAACUAAGCAGUUUGGCUAGCUAAAAAAUUAAUAAUAUAAAUACCUGUGGACCCACUACUAGCUUGAAAUUUUAUCAGACCUGCUUUGAUUCGUUUCCCCCAGCUUGAUUAAAGUAUAAUUGAUGAUUCAUUCUUUUUAAAUAGAACAAUGCAGAUAUGCAGAAGCCCCCUAUGUAUCACUUUCCGUCUCAUUUUGUCUCCCUCACAGUGGUGAGCACUAUCCUGAGAAUGUAUAAUAUAUCAUUAUUUCCAUGCAUGUCCGUAUAUGCAUACCCAUAAAAUGUUUUCUGUUGCACGUUUAGACAUGUAAUUAAAUGGAACCUUACUGUACCUGCUCCUUUCUCCUCUCUCAAAAUUAUACUUUUGAGAUUUAUCUAGUUGGUCAAUCUCUAAUUUUCACUGCUCAUUGUAUGAAUGACCCAUAAUUUAUCCAUUCCCUGACUAAGGGAGUAGGUGAUUUCUACUUUACUGCUGUUAUAGAGCAAUAAUGAACAUCAUGUACAAAAGAUUCACCGUGCAUCUAGAUUCCCAGAAGUGGAUUUGCUGGGAAGUUUUCAACAUUGUUAGCUAUUGCCAAAAACUGCUGUCUGAGUUGAUUGAAUCAAAGCACCAAAUUGCACUCCUAUCAGCAGUAUGUAUAGUUUGAGGACUCCAGUGGACUGAGUCUGAUUCAUGCCUGAGAAAUCUGAACUGAGAGAGGCUAGCUAAGACAGCUUUAGGAGGAGGUGGUAGGCAGAAAAUGAUGGGUGCAAAGGGAUCAGUUUGCAUGCACGGAAUUUGUCAGCACAAAGGAUGUGCAGGUGUUCCCCAUGGAGCCGAUGUGGGCCAUCAUGAGAUAGCCAGCAUGGGAUCAUCUUUGGUCCUGUCCAAGAGGCCUGGGUGGAAGGGCAAAUAAACUUCAGCAGAGAACCUCAAGGUAUCACCGAAUUCCUAGGGACUGAAAAAGGAGUGCUCAAUUAGCUUUGCCAAAGGAACCACAGGCGAGUGGUUUCCUGGUGAUGAAGUUGCCAAAGGAACCCACGAGAGUGCCCACAAGAAUCACCUGAAAAUGUCUGCAAAAAUUACAUGUAGAGCUGAUCCUCUACCACUACAGCAAUAACAGGAUACCAAGUAAUAUUGCUUGGCUGGAGAAAUUUUAGCUAAGCAGUGUUUCAUGAACAUGCAUUUUCACAGAAAGUACCCUCAAUUUAUCAUCAAGUUCCUGAAGAAGUAAUUAAUAAAGGAAUUGGCUUUCAUGCGCAUCAUUGGAUUCAUACAUUUCCAUGAGUAUGAGGAAAUGGAAAUGUCUCAUUUCUUAGACUCUUAGUUCGGUACAAUCAGUUCUCUGUACCAACUGCAGGAGAAAAGGUUACAGUUAAUGAGGAGCAAUAUAGUUUUCACUGUCUUUCAAAUAGUUUCUCUGGGAAGUGAGGUAAGU